rnacentral:rRNA from 1 species
AUUGAACGCUGGCGGCAUGCCUUACACAUGCAAGUCGAACGGCAGCACGGGGCAACCUGGUGGCGAGUGGCGAACGGGUGAGUAAUGCAUCGGAACGUACCUUUCAGUGGGGGAUAAAGUAGCGAAAGUUACGCUAAUACCGCAUAUUCUGUGAGCAGGAAAGCAGGGGAACGAAAGACCUUGCGCUGAUUGAGCGGCCGAUGUCAGAUUAGCUAGUUGGUGAGGUAAAGGCUCACCAAGGCGACGAUCUGUAGCGGGUCUGAGAGGAUGCUCCGCCACACUGGAACUGAGACACGGUCCAGACUCCUACGGGAGGCAGCAGUGGGGAAUUUUGGGCAAUGGGGGCAACCCUGAUCCAGCCAUGCCGCGUUAGUGAAGAAGGCCUUCGGGUUGUAAAGCUCUUUCGGUCGGGAAGAAAUCGCAUGGGCUAAUACCCUGUGCGGAUGACGGUACCGGCAUAAGAAGCACCGGCUAACUACGUGCCAGCCGCCGCCGUAAUAC